UACGUAGGGUGCGAGCGUUAAUCGGAAUUACUGGGCGUAAAGCGUGCGCAGGCGGUGAGCUGUGUCCGAUGUGAAAGCCCCGGGCUUAACCUGGGAAUGGCAUUGGAAACUGGCUCGCUGGAGUGGUGGCAGAGGGGGUGGAAUUCCGCGUGUAGCAGUGAAAUGCGUAGAGAUGCGGAGGAACACCGAUGGCGAAGGCAGCCCCCUGGGCUAACACUGACGCUCAGGCACGAAAGCGUGGGGAGCAAACAGG
rnacentral:rRNA from 1 species